rnacentral:lncRNA from 1 species
GAAGUCUUUAGCAGAGAGCUGAGACGGAGAAAAGGGUUCUGAACCACAGCUGUCUGCUGAAGGAAGCUGUCCAAAGGCCAGUGAAGUCUCUCCUGAGGGUGCCUGGGCUGUGCAUCAGGAGUGAAGGUUGAGGGUCACCUUAGGUGUGAGAAGGAGCAACUGGGAGAGUGGCGCUGAUGCUUCCCCCCGGGUUAGGAGGCAUUUGGAUCACAGAGCGAUGCCUGUUCAUUCCUGCUUGCAAGGGAGCAGAUCUCUCGACACCCGAUGGGCCUCUAUUCCGUUCCGGCAGCUGUCGGUGUCAGGAGCGCUGGGCUUGCUCCUCCCCACGGGAGCCAUCACAGAGGCCUCGGGCAGUCUGCAUAGACAACUGCCUGGCAGGUGACCAGGAGGGGAUGCAUGAGUAGAUGCAGGUAGCACUCGCAGUCCCCCUAGCUGUGCCCUCAGCACCUGCUGUCUAGGAGGCAGAAGCCUUGUUCUCGGCCUUGCAGGUGACCCCAGUGUCUCUGAAUUCGGCCCCAUAUGUGUAGGAGGGGAGUGAUUGCAUCUGAAGAUGGGAGUCCGGUUGGGGGUUUGGGAAGCUCCCAUCACCCCUCAAGAGUCCACUGACCAGCCCAGCUCACACCAGGUGGGCCUUGGCAUUGGAGGCCACGGCUCAACUCUGCAGUUCCCUCUGGGCAGCAUUUCCAGGGACUCGUAGGUCAGCACGGUCAUCAAGGACGGGUGGUGAGAGCAGCUCCUCAUUGUCCUGGUGACCCCGAUGGUUCAUUUUCUGGUGUCUCUGUGGUGAGCUCCUGUUACAUCAAGCGAGUGGAAACCACCGAGGACCAACAGCCCUGGAAAUGCACUGAGAAUGCAGGAUGAGUGGGGUUUGUGAGGACUGUUUUCUGUGACUUAGCAAGGAAAGCCUGGAAGGGAAAGUAAAACUGCUUCUUCCCAGGGAAGCCAGAAACCUAAGAACUUAAAAGGGAAGGAGAACUUAAUAUAUUUCAAAAAUGUAACCCUUGUGAAUUAGCAACAGCUUUAUAAACAAAGAGAUUUCCGAGCUUAUAGAAUCUAUUCUGCUUUGUUUCUGCCCCCAUGGCUCCUACCCCUGUUUUUGUGGGUGCAAUUUUCAGAUAGAACAUUUUUACACAAGCUUCAAAACUCUCUGAGGACAGCUUUCCCCUUUGCGUCUGUCGGGUCCCAGGCAGUCACAUCCCAGGAAGUGCUGGGGUUGGGCUCCUUGCUCCACAUCCUUCUUCAGUGGCACGAAGCGUGGGGUGGAGUGUGUGAGUCAUGUGUGAUCUUGGUGUGGGCUAUGGCUGGUCUGCAGCACCCCUUCAAUGACUGCUUCAAGGGCUUUUCAUGAUGCUUGUAGCUCAUGAGCUAGUGUUUCCUAGACGCUGUUUCCAGGUGUCUUGCAUGUCACACACUGGCCUACCAGGGCUGGAGUGAGAUCAUGAGCGCCAGAUUGUUGGUGAAGGAAGUUGACAGAGACAUCGAAUGUCGGUGAACAGGAGUGACCUUGGGUCUCAAUAAAUACUGUGGUCUACUGAAUCCAGAACCCACCCUUACCAGCAGGGCCCACUUCUUCCCCAGCAGGCCGAGCUCUUCCCCUCCUGUCUUCCCUGGCCCUUGCUUUGUAGCUCUGUGUGGCUGUGUCAUGUCUGGUUGUAUCUGUGUAUACUUCUGCCUCUCCCGCUAUCUAGAUGGCUCGGGGAGGCACACCACACACCAGGUCACCUUCCUCUCUGAACCCCCAGCACCUCAUACUGUUUCUGUGCAGAGAUAAGGCUGGGUGAAAGCUUGUGUGAAUGAUCUGAAGUCUUCUACUCUAGGCCAGUCUCCAGGAGCAUUAUGAUCUUUAGGAGGGUGGGCUUGGUUCCUCUGUACAAUAAUGGGUCAUAAAACUGAGUGGUCAAGAUCAUCCCGGUGAGGGCAGUCCGUGUGUUGCCAUAGUUGCUGUACCGGUUAAGAAUGCACCUGGCUGCAAUUUCCUGAAAACCUGACGUAUAGUGGCUUAAACAAAGAGUGGUUUAUUUUCCUUCUGUCAUAGCAAUCUGGGGGAGGCCACUGUGGCUUUGGCGCAGGAGGUCGGGAAAGGCCCGCUUCUCUGAUAUCACUGGGGGCCUCCCCAGUGCUUGUGUGGCAGAAUGACAAGAGGAAGAAGAAGGAGAAUUAUGGCACUGAGUAUCAUGAGAUUUGGGGUCAUAUAUCUUUAGUGGGCGGUGUUUGCUGCCCCAAAUGUCUCAUGCCAUUAAAAUGUUCUGGAAAUGAUUUAGGUAGUUGGAGUUUCCUUCCCAAAGACAAGGCAUUUACAGCAUGAUGUCCAAUAUCCAUUGAGUUUGUGUCAUGCAUUCAUUGUAUUCAUAGUCUGCUUUAGGUACUUAGCAAAAUAUUGCUGAUAUUAACAUGCCUUUGUUUGCUUCACUGGAGAUGAAAUUGUGCUCCAAGUGUUUUCCAAGGUUCCGUAUGACCCAUCAUUUGAUGAAACAAGAACAGCAGUCAGAUCCAUUACAAAGAGAGACACACAAAAAAACUAUGUGAAAAUGAGCUUAGCCCCUGGUGUUGUGUUGGAACUUCAGAUGCUUGCAGACACUUCAUGAAUGCUCUGUGACACUCAGAAUAGGCUCUUCCCAACAAAAGAGCUUGAACAAUGCUGCAUUUGCCUCAGGUUCAAAUGAGCGAGAGGAACAUUUGGCUAAAAUAUUUGGAACCAGCGUUGCUUGGAAUUCUCCUAAACCAGAAUAUUUCCUUGGCAGUGUGGACAAAAUUCCUGAUAAAGGGCAGGGCGGUGGUCACUUUCAGCCUUCAGGGACGCCUGA